rnacentral:lncRNA from 1 species
GUUUUCUUGUAGGAAAGCUGGAAUGCUGGACAGAAGCUCCAUUCUUUCUAUUCUUUGCUGGAAGGAGCACCAAACAGAGCAGAGAGAGGUGCUGGGCUUAAGAAGGAAGAAAUUCUCCUACCUUAGCAAAAGAAAUAGCCGUCCUUGUGUGACAUGCGCUGGACAAUGUUUUUGUGUAUUGUGUGAAAUAGACGUUCUACUUACCUGGCUCCAGUGAGAAGAAAUAGCCGGCCUUGUGUGACACGCGCUGGACAAUGUUCUUGUGUAUUGUGUGAAAUAGACGUUCUACUUACCUGGCUCCAGUGAGCAAACAAAGUCGAAGCAAUCUGGACCGAGACAAGGAAUCGAGAAAACGAGAUUGUGUGCCUUAUACUGUGGGUUUUAAUAGUGAUUGUAUUGCUUGCAAUAAUUAUGGACAAACUGGAUCCUUUGCCGGGUUGACUAAUGGAAAUUGUUUGUUUUUAAAGGUAUCAUAAAAUAUUCCUUGUAUACUUCUUUAUAUACCUUAUAUUAUAUAAAUAUAUAAAUAUAAAUAAAGAAGUGAUUAAGUUUCAUGCUCUUUUUUUAUCAAGUUGCAAUGUUCUUCUACAAUAUUAAAAACUGUAAAAAAAAAAAUCCAUUAAUUCCUCUUAGCUUAAUUUAGCUUAUUUAUUGUAUAGCUUUUCAAUAUCUUUUCAAUAUUGUAUACAGAUCAUCUAAUUGGGAUUAAAUAUAAUCCAUCCAUUUUUGUAUAUAAACAAAGGCUUUUACCCCAAUGAAUAUAACUAUUCCUAUGUCCUAAACACUCAUAAUUUCUGAAAGUUCCCUAGAGAGUAAAGUUUUUUGGAAGAGCUUUGAUUUAAUAUUCAAGAUUGUGUUUUUGCUUUUAUAAUUCCCUUAAAUUUAGAUUUGUUGUAAUUUUUGCUUAGAUCAAGGAUUGUAGCUAUCAAAUUUGCUCCUUUUUUAAUCUUCAUUGCAUUCCUUUUUUAUUUUGUCAUGCCACAUUGUUCUCAAUGUGUUGUUCAAAGCUUUAUUCAUUAUCUAAAUCUGGCAACAUUGUCUCUAUUAUUGUAUCACACAUUGAUCAAGUUUUUGUUGUUAUGAGGUGUGAUUUUGUUAGUGCUACUUCAAUCCUCAGUGUGCUUUAGUGGGACAUAGUUACACAACUUUUUUACUAUUUUUAUUAUUUACUAGUUACUAGUUACUAGUUACUAUUUUUUAUAUUAUGAUAUCUUUUGCUAAUGUGAAGUGAAUUUAAAGUUAUGGAUGCUGCAAUUUAGUUCUUAGAGGAUUUUGAAAAUCAAGAAGAUGAUGUUUAUAAGCUCAAAUGGAUUCUUGUUGAUAAGAAAUUCAAUUACUUUGAAAAUAACUUUUGGAGAUAAAUUAAAUAUCCUCCGAUGGAACUGUCAGACUGUGGGAGUUUCCACUGGUACUUGCAAAACAGUGGUGAAAGUCCAUGACACGGAUGCUAACGUGAUCUCUUGGAACAGGUAUGUGGUUCUCAAGAACAAACACUUCACUGUCAAGUUCCCCAAAGUCCUAGUUUCAAAUGGCAGCUCGCCACUGGCGGUGAUGAUGGUCCAUAGCUACUGAAAAACAAUCGUCUCAACAUCUCCUAGCAAUUUCAACGUCCCAAUUCCAAUUUCUAAGGUGAUCUUGAGUUUAAAUGGGAGGGGGAGGUUUACAGUAAAGGUACUCUGCAAUUGCUCUUAGCUACUAUAGAUGCUUCCCUCAAGCCGUGCUUUCGGAACAGCAAUGAGCGGCUGCGUUUUGUGACAAACCAAGCCAUAAGUCUCGUUCAUGUUGAUCUCAGCUGGAUCUCGUCCCUUCGCCAACUUCCACUCGAAUCCUUGAACCAGUGUAGCAAUGCCAAUCUGCAGCAUGUCAAAUCCAAGUUUAGCUCCAGGGCACCUUCGCCUUCCAGAUCCAAACGGCAGCAAGUUGUAAUCUUGUCCAAACACGUCGAUGUCGGCCUCUAGAAAUCGCUCGGGCCAGUACUUCAUUGGAUCUUUCCAGUGUGCAGGAUCUAUGCCAAGUGAAUGGAAGUUGACAAAGGUGCAGGUACCAUUAGGAAUGGUGUAGCCACCAAGUUUUGAAGGACCUCCUCGGACUACCUUGGGAAGCGCCAGUGGUGCUAGCUGGUGCAGCCUCAAUGUUUCUUUGGCGAUUGCAGCGAUGAAUGGUAGCUGAUCCAAGUCUGAAUCUUCCACCAAUCUGUUGCUUCCAACCACAGAAUCUAUAUCUUUGCGGGCCUUUUCCAUGACGGCUGGGUGACGAAGGAGCUCUGUGAUGGCCCAUUCCAGUGAGAGUGCUGAAGUAUCCACUGCACCAAGCAACAUAUCCUGAAACAAAUUUGGAUGACUUAUAUAUUGUGUAAAGCAGGAAACCACUUACGAAGAGAAGGGAGAGCUUGGUAAUAUCUGAAACUUCUUCUUCAGUUGAAUCCAGAGAAAGGAGGACGUCAAUGAACGGAACAGGCUCAUCGCUCCUAUACUUUCGAGGGUUCCUUCUAUGAUCUUGCAGGACAGAAAGCAAGUAGUCGUUCACCUUAGCUAUCAGCUGCUUGUACCGUUUCUCCAAGCGUUGAACGUCCAGCCAUUUGAUAGCUGGGAUGAAAUCACUGAUGUUGAAUACCCCUGACAAUCUUAAGCUUUCUAUAACUGCAUCCACAAAAGCGUCAAGUGCUGCUGUGUUCCUGGCAUGCGCCCCGUAGAAACGCUCUCCAAAGAGCAUGUAAGUGAUAAUGUUCACGUUCAGGUUGUGGAACUUGUCUCUGAGCUUGAUCGGUGUGCCUUCUGCAGAAACAAUCGAACGCGCUAGACUGCAUUGUUCUUCCCUGCGGAUCUUGUCGUAGACUUUGAGCCUGGUUGCCGAGAGCAGAUGAGUGUUGACGAUCUUCCUGUACAGUUUCAGCUGUGGAGUGUACUCCGCAUAAACAAUCCCAUUGAAAUCAUUGCCAAAAUGCCUGCCAGCUAUAGUAGGAACUUUAGAAGCAAACUCAAGGCCACGAUACUUGUACAGUUCCUUUGCUGCUUCUUCAGAGCUCACAACUACGAACGGUACUGUACCAAAUUUGAGAUGCAUAAUGCCACCGUACUUUCUAGACAGCUCGUGAAGAGACACAUGAGGAAGAGGGCCAAUCAAGUGAAGACAACCAAUCACAGGCAGGCUAAAUGGUCCAGGGGGGAGAUCGCUGGGCUUUCUGAAGAACCAUCUUGAAGUGACAAUCACAAGCAGCAAUACAAGCAACAACGAGUAGCAGUUUUCUUGUAGGAAAGCUGGAAUGCUGGACAGAAGCUCCAUUCUUUCUAUUCUUUGCUGGAAGGAGCACCAAACAGAGCAGAGAGAGGUGCUGGGCUUAAGAAGGAAGAAAUUCUCCUACCUUAGCACGAAAGAAAUAGCCGGCCUUGUGUGACAUGCGCUGGACAAUGUUCUUGUGUAUUGUGUGAAAUAUCUACUUACCUGGCUCCA